rnacentral:rRNA from 1 species
CCUACGGGUGGCAGCAGUGAGGAAUAUUGGUCAAUGGACGAGAGUCUGAACCAGCCAAGUAGCGUGAAGGAUGACUGCCCUAUGGGUUGUAAACUUCUUUUAUAUGGGAAUAAAACGUUCCACGUGUGGGAUUUUGUAUGUACCAUAUGAAUAAGGAUCGGCUAACUCCGUGCCAGCAGCCGCGGUAAUACGGAGGAUCCGAGCGUUAUCCGGAUUUAUUGGGUUUAAAGGGAGCGUAGGUGGAUUGUUAAGUCAGUUGUGAAAGUUUGCGGCUCAACCGUAAAAUUGCAGUUGAAACUGGCAGUCUUGAGUACAGUAGUGGUGGGCGGAAUUCGUGGUGUAGCGGUGAAAUGCUUAGAUAUCACGAAGAACUCCGAUUGCGAAGGCAGUUCACUGGACUGCAACUGACACUGAGGCUCGAAAGUGUGGGUAUCAAACAGGAUUAGAUACCCUUGUAGUC